rnacentral:rRNA from 1 species
UACGGAGGAUGCAAGCGUUAUCCGGAUUUAUUAGGUUUAAAGGGUGCGUAGGUGGAUUGGUAAGUCAGUGGUGAAAGUUUGCAGCUUAACUGUAAAAUUGCCGUUGAAACUGCCGGUCUUGAGUGCAAAUGAGGUAGGCGGAAUGCGUGUGUAGCGGUGAAAUGCUUAGAUAUGACGCAGAACUCCGAUUGCGAAGGCAGCUUACUGGGAUGCAACUGACGCUGAGGCACGAAAGCGUGGGUAUCAAACAGGAUUAGA